rnacentral:rRNA from 1 species
UUUCCUGAUCAACGCUAAUCGGAUCAGGGUUAGUCGGGUCCUAAGGGUAAGCCGAACGGUGAUCUCGAUGGAUAAUCGGUUAAUAUUCCGAUACUGACAUAUACCUCGAUGGAGAGACGAAGGAACGUAAGUGCCGCCACCUGACGGAAUAGGUGGUUAAAGGGCUUAGGUAUAGGGACAGAUUAAGAGUUAGUCCUUGCUGAAACCUGACAGUACAGAGAGCCUACGGGCAAUUUGAUAGUGCACCCAAGUCGACUUCCGAGAAAAUCUUCUAAGUUAUAGUAUAUGUCACCCGUACCGUAAACCGACACAGGUGGUCGAGGAGAGUAUCCUAAGGUGCUCGAGUGAAUCACGGUUAAGGAACUAGGCAAAUUAACCCCGUAACUUCGGGAAAAGGGGUCCCAUCGCGAGGUGGGCGCAGCGAAGAGGUCCAGGCGACUGUUUAUCAAAAACACAGGGCUCUGCAAAUUCGAAAGAAGACGUAUAGGGCCUGACACCUGCCCGGUGCUGGAAGGUUAAGAGGGGAUGUCAUCGCAAGAGAAGCAUUGAAUCGAAGCCCCAGUAAACGGCGGCCGUAACUAUAACGGUCCUAAGGUAGCGAAAUUCCUUGUCGGGUAAGUUCCGACCUGCACGAAUGGUGUAACGAUCUGGACACUGUCUCAACCGUGAGCUCGGUGAAAUUGUAGUCCCGGUGAUGAUGCCGGGUACCCGCAACGGGACGAAAAGACCCCGUGAACCUUUACUAUAGCUUAACGCUGAAUUUGGGUACACAAUGUGUAGGAUAGGCAGGAGACUACGAAGCGGGCACGCCAGUGUUCGUGGAGUCGACGUUGAAAUACUGCCCUUUGUGUACUUGAGUUCUAACCCUCGAGAGGGGACACCGUUUGGUGGGUAGUUUGACUGGGGUGGUCGCCUCCAAAAGAGUAACGGAGGCUUCCCAAGGUACCCUCAGCACGAAUGGUAACCGUGCGUAGAGUGCAAUAGCAUAAGGGUGCUUGACUGUGAGACCAACAAGUCGAUCAGGUGCGAAAGCAGGGUAUAGUGAUCCGGUGGUUCUGCGUGGACUGGCCAUCGCUCAAAGGAUAAAAGGUACUCCGGGGAUAACAGGCUGAUC